CCCUCACCCCCCGAUUUUCUUUCCCCCGUCCCAGUCCCACCUCUCGUACGACCCACUCGAUUUUCUUUCCCCCUCUGGCCUGCUCCUCAUGCCGGCGUCCGGCGCCACCGCUACCAACCUCCAGCCGUCGUCCAAAACAACAGCACCAUGGAUCCCGAUGUGGAGCUCCACUGCAGCCCGAUCUGACCUGGGAGCGACCAGAUCCGUGCGUCUCCGCCUCGCUCCGCGUGCCUCCAUGGUCCGCCGUCUUCCCGAGCGCCGGCGCCACGCGACCAGAUCCGUGCGUCUCCACCUCGCUCCGCGCGCCUCCAUGGUCCGCCGUCUUCCCGAGCGCCGGCGCUGCGCUCAGCCGCCGCCAUCCCGUGCCAUGGUCGCCUCCCUCUAGAACGACGUGCCAUGGUCGCUUCCCUGCCUCUCCCGCAAGUGGGCCUUUGCGUUUCUUUGCUUUUUUUCAGGACACUAGGUGCCAGGUUGGAGAUUUGGGAUCGGAUGCGCCAAUAACAAGGGACCAAGGUGAUGAACUAACGGCACGGGCAGAAUGAUUCUUCAGGAUGAAUCAGAAACUGAAGAUGAUGAUACAAUGGACACAGAAGAAGCUUCCUCUGUCCUCAUCACUGCACUGUAGUCUUUCAGCCAAGCUCUGGUGAAUGAUGACGGAGAAAAAGAUAUCGUGACAGAGGUUCAUGUCUUCUUGUGUCCAACCCUAGAUCACAGGGGCUCUCUUAUCAGCAAAAUAGCUACUCUAGAUGUGCAGAUGACGAUCCAG